GACGAACGCUGGCGGCGUGCUUAACACAUGCAAGUCGAACGGAAAGGCCCCUUUGGGGGUACUCGAGUGGCGAACGGGUGAGUAACACGUGAGUAACCUGCCCUUGACUUCGGGAUAACUUCAGGAAACUGGGGCUAAUACCGGAUAGGAAUCCUUGCUGCAUGGUGGGGGUUGGAAAGCUUCGGCGGUUUUGGAUGGACUCGCGGCUUAUCAGCUUGUUGGUGGGGUAGUGGCUUACCAAGGCUUUGACGGGUAGCCGGCCUGAGAGGGCGACCGGCCACAUUGGGACUGAGAUACGGCCCAGACUCCUACGGGAGGCAGCAGUGGGGAAUAUUGCACAAUGGGCGGAGGCCUGAUGCAGCAACGCCGCGUGCGGGAUGACGGCCUUCGGGUUGUAAACCGCUUUCAGCAGGGGCGAAGCUUUUGUGACGGUACCUGCAGAAGAAGCACCGGCUAACUACGUG
rnacentral:rRNA from 1 species